GACGAACGCUGGCGGCGUGCUUAACACAUGCAAGUCGAACGAUGAAGAAAAGAAUCGAAGCUUCGGCAGAAAUUCAUUUCGGAUUAGUGGCAGACGGGUGAGUAACGCGUGAGCAACCUACCUCUUACAAAGGGAUAGCCUCGGGAAACCGGGAUUAAUACCAUAUAACAUUGCGACGAAGCAUUUCGAUGCAAUCAAAGCUACGGCGGUAAGAGAUGGGCUCGCGUCCCAUUAACCGGAUGGUGAGGUAACGGCUCACCAUAGUGACGAUGGGUAACCGGGAUGAGAGGGUGAACGGUCACACUGGAGCUGAGACACGGUCCAGACUCCUACGGGAGGGAGCAGAGGGGAAUAUUGCACAAUGGAGGGAACUCUGAUGCAGCGACGCCGCGUGAGUGAUGAAGGAAUUCGUUUCGUAAAACUCUGUUCUAUGGGAAGAAAAGGACGGUACCAGAGGAGAAAGCACCGGCUAAAUACGUG
rnacentral:rRNA from 1 species